ensembl:lncRNA
CAUUACAGCUAGUGUUAUUUAACGGUGGAAAGUGAAACUGAUGCAUAAAAGUUUGCUGAUUUAAAUUUUUUUAAUGUUUAUUGAUAUUUUUAUGUAUAUCAUAGUCAUAGGGCAGCUAGGUGGGGCAGUAGAAAGAGUGCUUGCUGGGUCUGGAAUUAGGAAGACCUGAAUUCAAAUUUGAUCUCAGAUGUACAUGUGACACACCAACUAUGUGACCUUGGCAAGUCACUUUAACCUUUAUUUGCCUCAGUUUUUUUAUCUUUAAAAUGGAGCUGAUAAUAGCACAUUUCUCCCAGGGCUGUUGUGAGGAUCCCAAGAGUUAGUCAUUUUAAAGUGCUUAACAUAGUACCUGGUACACAGUAAGCACUAUGUAAAUGUUAGCUAUUAUGAUUUCUAGUGGAACUUCUUCUACUCAGCCCCCCACUUCCAAACUUCAAAUUGAGACUCCCCCUUUAGGCACAAAGUAAAUGAAUUAAGCAAAAUCACCUGACACAGUGACAGUGUCUGGCAAUGUGUAGAGCAUUCUGCCCUAACACACCUCUUAUAUUUCUGUCAAAAAGACAUGGUUAAAUUUCAAUAUCUGUUCUUUAGAACUUUGGUGGAAUGUUUCUAUUAUUUAGAUUCCAGUUUCUUUUUAGCAACAUCUUUUCAUUUGCAUUGCUGGAGUAUUUGUGUGUUUAUGAUGUAUAUGUAUGUGUGUGUGUGUGUGUGUGUGUGUGUAUAUGUGUGUGUGUGUGUGUGUGUGUAUUCUUUUGGUUUCAUUCUUCUCAGUUCAUGCAAAUCUCAUGUUUCUUAUGAUUCUUCAAUUUCCUCUUUUCUUAUAGCAUGAUAAAAUCCCUCUACCUUUUAUAUACACACUAUCCUUCAUAGGCUAAAUCUAAGAAAAUGAAAUAGAGUGAAUAAAAAUGAACUAUACCAGCACAACACAGUGAAGGUGUUGUCUGAAAAAUAUCUACAAGUGAUAAGAGGACAGCAAGUUGAAUGUGUCAAUAAUGUGAAUGUAAGUUUAAGCUAGUUUCAUAUUUAGGAAUAGAUAUUGCUUUAUUUCAUCCUGGUCAUAUGCCAACCUGAAUACUUGGUUCUACAUUUUAGGAAGGAAAUUAAUGAAUGUCCAAAAAAAGGUAAUUUAUGAUAAUGAAAGGAAGUCCUUGAAUUUAUGCCAUAUGAAGAUCAAAGAAACUCUGGAGACCUAGUCUGUAAGAGACAUAUGGACUACAUGCUGUCUCUUUUCAAGUAUUUAAAGAAUUGUCAUUUAAAGAAAAGUCAUUGUAAGACUUGUUGGAUCUGGAAUUGGAGAAUCUGGGUUAAAUCUAUCUCUACCUCUUUGGGGCUCAGUUUCCUUUUCUAUGAAAUUAAAGGCUCAUCACAACUUCUCUGAUUCUGUGAACUAGAAAAUGGGUGAAAGUCACAAAGAAACAAAUUUGACUUCAUGUAAGAAAAUCUUUCUAAUAUAAGAAAAGGUUGAAACCACCUCAUUUUGGCUCUGGUGACUUGAGUAGGUCAGAAUACUUUUCGAUGGAAUUAAACAAUCACAACUACAUGUGAAAAGGUCCUUGAAUCAAUCAAAGUCACUGCAUGAGAGACUAGGUCGUGCCCUACACAAUUUAUAUAAAAGGAAGAAGCUUUCUCAGAAUUCAGGGAAGAGAUAAUGACACACUGGAUUUAAGAGGUUGAAGUAAACAUGGCAUUUCCAGCAUAGCCUUGAGGAACAAAGGGAGAACUCAGAGGAGGGAGAUAAUCAAGGAGAAGCCUGGGGUCUCUAAGCAUCACAGAGUAAAGAUCUUAGGCUGAGGCAGGUUCUUUUCCAAACUUCCUUUCCCAAUACUUGUUCAUCCACAAACAUUAUAAUAAGUUUAUUAUUAUUUAUAAUAAAUACCUAAGUUUAUAAUAAAGUGAAUUUUGCCUCAAAGAGAUCAGGGGUUAAUUAGGGAAAGAUGUAAAUCUCAGGUUGGGCAGAGAGCUCCACCUCUGCCUAGGUACUAGGAAUUUUCCUCACUGGGGACAUAAAGAAUUUGUGAAUAAAUUUAGAACUUUUGAUCUAAAAUAAACUCCCUAAAAAAGCUGAGCCCCAUUACAUACCCCAUUAUAUGCUUAAAAUGAAUGAAUUUUUACAAUCCCAACAAUUUCAGCUAUCCAAGGGUAUAAUGGGUUGCCUUGAAAGAUAGUGGUUUCAUCUUCAUUUGAAAUCUUGUAGAGUUUGAACCACCAUUUGUUGGAAUAUGUUGAAAGGAGAAUUCUUAUUCAAGUUAAGGUUUAACUAGAUGAUUUCCUGGGUUUUUCCCAGUUCUGAGAUUCUGGGAUUGUGUCCUUAGGCCACUGAACCAACCUAAUGAAUAUUCUUUGGUAUGCUAUAUUUUAUUCAUCUUUCC